rnacentral:rRNA from 1 species
AUUGAACGCUGGCGGCAGGCCUAACACAUGCAAGUCGAACGAGAGGCGGACGGGUGAGUAAUUGCUUGGAAACUGCCUGAUCGAGGGAGAAAAGGACGGGAACCGGUAGCUAAUACUGCAAACCAUCGGUUGUGCUCAGAGUGGAUUAGCUAGUAGGUGGGGUAAAGGCUCACCUAGGCGACGAUGCCUAGCUGGUCCGAGAGGAUGACCAGCCACACUGGAACUGAGACACGGUCCAGACUCCUACGGGAGGCAGCAGUGGGGAAUAUUGCACAAUGGGCGCAAGCCUGAUGCAGCCAUGCCGCGUGUAUGAAGAAGGCUUUCGGGUUGUAAAGUACUGUCAGCGGGGAGGCGUUACCCGAAGAAGAAGCACCGGCUAACUCCGUGCCAGCAGCCGCGGUAAUUC